GUGGUGAUUCACAGGGAUGAGUCGGAAAACCCUCACAGUGAAUAGCCAGAUGUCUAGAGUGAGCCAGGGGGAAGCACUGAACUUCAGUUAGGAUGUGCCUCAAGUCAUAGCCACUGCCAAGCCUCAGCAGGGUUUGUGGGAAGAUUCCUCCAUCCAGCCAUGAUCCAGAGCCCAGCAUCCUCUUUGAAGUGUGCAGAAGCAAGCGGGAGAUGCACGAGGUGA
rnacentral:lncRNA from 1 species